UACAGAGGGGGCAAGCGUUGUUCGGAAUUACUGGGCGUAAAGGGCGCGUAGGCGGCCAACUAAGUCAGACGUGAAAUCCCACGGCUCAACCGUGGAACUGCGUCUGAUACUGGAUGGCUUGAAUCCGGGAGAGGGAUGUGGAAUUCCAGGUGUAGCGGUGAAAUGCGUAGAUAUCAGGAGGAACACCAGUGGUGAAGGCGGCGUUCUGGGCGGUUACUGACGCUGAGGCGCGAAAGCGUGGGUAGCAAACAGG
rnacentral:rRNA from 1 species